AUUCAGGAGAGGACCUCUAGGACCUACACUGUCUGUGUUCUAUUCAGGAGAGGAACUCUAGGUACUACACUGUCUGUGUUCUAUUCAGGAGAGGAACUCUAGGACCUACACUGUCUGUGUUCUAUUCAGGAGAGGAACUCUAGGUACUACACUGUCUGUGUUCUAUUCAGGAGAGGAACUCUAGGACCUACACUGUCUGUGUUCUAUUCAGGAGAGGAACUCUAGGUACUACACUGUCUGUGUUCUAUUCAGGAGAGGAACUCUAGGUACUACACUGUCUGUGUUCUAUUCAGGAGAGGAACUCUAGGUACUACACUGUGUUCUAUUCAGGAGAGGAACUCUAGGUACUACACUGUCUGUGUUCUAUUCAGG